GUCCAAGGUGAGUCUCUCUCCAAGGGCUUGACUAAUGCCCUUUUCAGGAACACAGCAGCUUGGAAGAAAACCUGGCAUGCCUGAGGUCUCUGAGGAACAAGGGAUGCUGCCUACAUGCAUGCCUAGUCAGUCUAGAUAG